GCCGGGUGCGGUGGCUCACACCUGUAGUCCCAGUUACUCGGGAGGCUGAGGCCAGAGGAUUGCUUGAGCCCAGGAGUUCUGGGCUGUGGUGCGCUAUGCCGAUCGGGUGUUCAGCAUCAGUAUGGUGACCUCCCGGGAGCGGGGGACCAUCAGGUUGCCUAAGGAGGGGUGAACCGGCCCAGGUCAGAAACGGGAGCGGGUCAAAACUCCCGUGCUGAUCAGUAGUGGGAGGGUGCCUGUGAAUAGCCACUGCACUCCAGCCUGGGCAACAUAGCGAGACCCCAUCUCU
rnacentral:SRP_RNA from 1 species